CCUACUUCAAGAUUACUUUUCCAGUUUCCUAAGCCUCAUAUAUAGUUUUGUGGAUUGAUCAAGUGACAUUAUUUCAAAAUAUUUUCUUUGUUGAGGAAAUAUAAUUCUCUAACUCGGCUUCUGAUUUUCGGUUUCUUGAAGGCCGAGACUGGUAUAGCUGAACUUAUCGCUCUCGAGAUAUCUAAAAAGACAAAUACUCCAUUGGAAGAGGCCAGGAAAAAGAUUUGGCUCGUGGAUUCUAAGGGGCUGAUUGUCAGUUCUCGUAGAGAGUCUCUGCAGCAUUUCAAGAAGCCUUGGGCACACGAACACGAGCCAGUCAAGGAACUAUUAGCCGCUGUUAAGG